UCAUCGCAGCAUGAGUUAUCGUCCAGACUGGUCACUUGACAGUUGGGCAGCGUAAAGUGAAGACGCAGGAUAUGCAAGAUGAAUGGCGUGAAGCGUAGGCUUUUUUCUGAUGUAGAUGGACAAACAGUCAAAUUGUUUUUAAGAUGCACCACAUUUUCCGAUUUACUGCAUAAACGGAACCUGCAAGUAACCCAGUCUUUUGUGCGGAUUCUGGAACCAGACGCCCUUAUAUGCACAUUAUUGUCUUAAAACCGAAUAAACGCAUUUAUCUUUGGUUUUUCAUUUUGAUAUGAAGUACUUAAAACGGUAAUGAUAAUAAGGGGAAUGAAUGAUCUGUAACAAUUUGGCGAGCGCUCUCAAAAUUUUCUGUAAAGGUUAUUACAUCAAUAUUGCUCUUGCUUUUUAUGUUGGUGUUACCUUAGUUAAUUUGAAAUAGUUUUUAGAUUUUGUUAAUGUGCCUAAAAUUAAGUUAUGUGGCCACGUCGAUCCUAUUUUGGCAAUAAUUUUUUUAAACCCAGAAAAGUGUAUUCAAAAUAUUUUAGAAAUACCUGCAAGAAUAAUUUGUACUUACAAUCGUACUUUUCUAAAUUUGUUUCUAUUUUUAAAAGAUUUUUUAUGCUUUAAUAAAAUUAAGCACCAAAUACAGAUAGUUUAAGGAUUGCAACUCUCACUGAAAUUCGCUAAAAAGUUUGGGAUGGUAUGGUAUUGAUCACAAAAGUUCAAAUCCCUCUUCUCAUGAACAUGUUUCGUUAAAUGAAAAAUAUCAUGUAAAGAAUUUUCCUACUACCAUCACCUGGUCAUAAAAAUAUACUGAAUAAUCCAAGUAAUUAUUUGUUUGAUUUCAAAUCUUGGCAUAGUAGAGCAUCAUGUACUAUUCAAUUAUGUUAAUAAAAUGUUGACAUCCCCUGCCCUGCAAACC